rnacentral:lncRNA from 1 species
AGUAAGAGAGGGUCCAUUCAACUUCUCUAUUACAUAAGCCUAUUGAGUUGAAGACUUCAGAGAUCAUUUUUUUGCAUGGUAUGCAAAGAUGAAUUCAAAGCCAGUAAAUGGUAGUUUAAAGGAGAGAGAGUUGACAUAGAAAUGCAGAAUCAGAAAUGGUUUUAAGGAGGAAGUGAUAUUUAGAAAGGCCUUGAAACAUUAAUGAGAGUUACAUAAGAGGAAGUUGAAAUAGUAGAAAUGACGAUAAUCUAAGCCUUCCCAGAAAUGAGGGAGAAUGGUGUUUUUUCUUUGGCUGCAGAAAUCAUUUACAUGAACGAGAGUGGAAGCUAGUCCCCAAACGAGGAGGAGGGAGUGUGUGUCUGUGUGUGUCUCUCUGUGUGUGUGUGUGUGUGUGUGGCUGCGGUAGCGGUCCUGUUCAUAAAACUGGGCUGGGAUUUGAAGCCCUAUGUGAUUAAGAUUAUAAUUACACCUUAGCUUUGAUUGUCUCAAAAUAUGGUGAAACUUGAAAACAAGGUUACUAAGGGUUAAAUUGCAUUGUACACAUUUAAACACAUCCACAUGCCCGACACCUGCAUUAAAAUAUUUUUAAAAAUCACAACUCGCAGUUUAUAAAAAAGAGCAGUAUGUUUAUUUUCAUAAGAAUGGAACAGUUUCAUUUUGUAUAAAGAACUAAAUAUGAAGAAUUACAAAGAAGUAAAAAAUCAGCCAAAACCUACAUGAUAGAAUAAUCGCUUUAAAUAUUUGCUGAGUUAGCAUUUAAGAUACAGUAUCUCUUUAUGUGUAUAAACAGAUAGAAAGAUAGAGAGCUAGGUGAAAAUAAUUUUGGAGCAGAUGGGAUAGUACUCUACGUGCAUUUUUUGACUAAAAUAUAGCAUUUAACAUGCAUUAAUAAUAAACCUGAAAUUGAAGUAAUUUCUUAACUUCAGACUAAAUAUUUGUUUUUAAUCACAAAGUCAUAUUAGGCCUUGGAGUAUCUCUCUAGAAUUAAAAAAAUUCUAAAAAAUCUUAAGAGAUUGAUUCAUUGCAUUUUUAAACUACAUUUUUUUCAACAUUAGAGAGUAGCUACAGAUUUUCAGCUGUGACUAAAGACUUUAGCAUACUUAACCACUCGACCGUGAAUGGCAUUAGCAUACUUAGACUUUUUCUUCCUUCUCUUCAUUUCCCUUAUGCCUGGUUCCUUCAGACAUUCCUGAACUAGCUUUACUUUGGCCUGAUUUUUCUUAAAAAGUUUAUAUUUCUGCUAUCUUGCUAUAUUUUAUGUGUUUUUGCAAUCCACACUUAGUCCACAAUAAGAACAAGGCAGCAUAUAAAUAAAUAAAAGAUAAGCAUAAAAUACUGGAAGUUAUUAUAAUUCAAAAUGUUUAUAAUCCUGACCCCUGAUUUACCAGUAAUUUUUCUGUGUGUAAUUGUAUGCAUAAAGGUUACCUCUAAAUUAUAUAUCAAUUGUUGGAGGCACAAUUUAGAACAAGACAGAAGUCUCUCUCUCUUUUUUUUUUGCUGAGGAAGAUUUGCCCUGAGCUAAUGUCUGUUGCCAAUCCUCCUCUUUUUGCUUGAGGAAGAUUCACCCUGAGCUAACAUCUGUGCCAAUCUUCUUCUAUUUUGCAUGUGGGACACUGCCACAGCAGUUGCUGGCUCAGCAUGGCUGCUGACAAGUGGUGUAUGUCUGUACCCGGGAACUGAACCCAGGCCACAGAAGUGGAGCAUGCCAAACUUAACCACUAGGCCACAGGGCUAGCCCCCAGAAGUCUCUUUAAAUCAGUACACCUGUUCACUAAAGUCUCUUCAUAAAUUGUUGUGUCUUCAAUUUGCCAUUUAUGAUCAGUGGAAAAAUAUUUACUUUGCUUUGGUGUUGAAGUUGUGGGUUCUAGUAUAGUGAGACCAUCAGGUG